rnacentral:rRNA from 1 species
UACGUAGGGUGCAAGCGUUGUCCGGAAUUAUUGGGCGUAAAGAGCUCGUAGGCGGUUUGUCGCGUCUGCUGUGAAAACCCGAGGCUCAACCUCGGGCCUGCAGUGGGUACGGGCAGACUAGAGUGCGGUAGGGGAGAUUGGAAUUCCUGGUGUAGCGGUGGAAUGCGCAGAUAUCAGGAGGAACACCAGGUGGCGAAGGCGGGAUCUCUGGGCAGUGACUGACGCUGAGGAGCGAAAGCGUGGGGAGCGAACAGG